ACGGGUGAGUAAUGUCUGGGAAACUGCCCGAUGGAGGGGGAUAACUACUGGAAACGGUAGCUAAUACCGCAUAACGUCGCGAGACCAAAGUGGGGGACCUUCGGGCCUCACACCAUCGGAUGUGCCCAGAUGGGAUUAGCUAGUAGGUGGGGUAACGGCUCACCUAGGCGACGAUCCCUAGCUGGUCUGAGAGGGUGACCAGCCACACUGGAACUGAGACACGGUCCAGACUCCUACGGGAGGCAGCAGUGGGGAAUAUUGCACAAUGGGCGCAAGCCUGAUGCAGCCAUGCCGCGUGUAUGAAGGAGGCCUUCGGGUUGUAAAGUACUUUCAGCGGGGAGGAAGGCGACGCGGUUAAUAACCGGGUCGAUUGACGUUACCCGCAGAAGAAGCACCGGCUAACUCCGUGCCAGCAGCCGCGGUAAUACGGAGGGUGCAAGCGUUAAUCGGAAUUACUGGGCGUAAAGCGCACGCAGGCGGUCUGUCAAGUCGGAUGUGAAAUCCCCGGGCUUAACCUGGGAACUGCAUUCGAAACUGGCAGGCUAGAGUCUUGUAGAGGGGGGUAGAAUUCCAGGUGUA
rnacentral:rRNA from 1 species